rnacentral:rRNA from 1 species
UCAGAAGGGGAUAACACUUGGAAACAGGUGCUAAUACCGUAUAACAAUCGAAACCGCAUGGUUUUGAUUUGAAAGGCGCUUUCGGGUGUCGCUGAUGGAUGGACCCGCGGUGCAUUAGCUAGUUGGUGAGGUAACGGCUCACCAAGGCCACGAUGCAUAGCCGACCUGAGAGGGUGAUCGGCCACAUUGGGACUGAGACACGGCCCAAACUCCUACGGGAGGCAGCAGUAGGGAAUCUUCGGCAAUGGACGAAAGUCUGACCGAGCAACGCCGCGUGAGUGAAGAAGGUUUUCGGAUCGUAAAACUCUGUUGUUAGAGAAGAACAAGGAUGAGAGUAACUGUUCAUCCCUUGACGGUAUCUAACCAGAAAGCCACGGCUAACUACGUGCCAGCAGCCGCGGUAAUACGUAGGUGGCAAGCGUUGUCCGGAUUUAUUGGGCGUAAAGCGAGCGCAGGCGGUUUCUUAAGUCUGAUGUGAAAGCCCCCGGCUCAACCGGGGAGGGUCAUUGGAAACUGGGAGACUUGAGUGCAGAAGAGGAGAGUGGAAUUCCAUGUGUAGCGGUGAAAUGCGUAGAUAUAUGGAGGAACACCAGUGGCGAAGGCGGCUCUCUGGUCUGUAACUGACGCUGAGGCUCGAAAGCGUGGGGAGCAAACAGGAUUAGAUACCCUGGUAGUCCACGCCGUAAACGAUGAGUGCUAAGUGUUGGAGGGUUUCCGCCCUUCAGUGCUGCAGCUAACGCAUUAAGCACUCCGCCUGGGGAGUACGACCGCAAGGUUGAAACUCAAAGGAAUUGACGGGGGCCCGCACAAGCGGUGGAGCAUGUGGUUUAAUUCGAAGCAACGCGAAGAACCUUACCAGGUCUUGACAUCCUUUGACCACUCUAGAGAUAGAGCUUCCCCUUCGGGGGCAAAGUGACAGGUGGUGCAUGGUUGUCGUCAGCUCGUGUCGUGAGAUGUUGGGUUAAGUCCCGCAACGAGCGCAACCCUUAUUGUUAGUUGCCAUCAUUCAGUUGGGCACUCUAGCAAGACUGCCGGUGACAAACCGGAGGAAGGUGGGGAUGACGUCAAAUCAUCAUGCCCCUUAUGACCUGGGCUACACACGUGCUACAAUGGGAAGUACAACGAGUUGCGAAGUCGCGAGGCUAAGCUAAUCUCUUAAAGCUUCUCUCAGUUCGGAU